rnacentral:misc_RNA from 1 species
GCUGCUGGAGCACCACUGCUAUCCUCAGGCGCAUCACUCAAUUUUACAUCAUGUACUUUUUCAGGCAUGCAAACACGUAGAGAAUCAUCUCUCAGCACAUCUUCAUGAUCAUCGUCAUCAUCGUCGUCAUCGUCAUCGUCAGAGAUGUCAUCAUCUUCAAUCACCAAUGCAUCAUCAAUCUCAACAGGAGAUAUAUCCAAUUCCUCAUCCUCAGAACUAGAAUCCCCAUUUACUGAUUUCAUUUGUGCAUCUUUA